UUCCUUUUUCUUUUCUUUUCUUUUCCUUUCCUUUCCUUUCCUUUCCUUUCCUUUUUCUUUUCUUUUCCUUUCCUUUCUCUUUUCUUUUCCUUUCCUUUCCUUUCUUUUCUUUUCUUUUUCUUUCCUUUUUUUUUCAACAGGUCUCCUUUUUCAAGGCUGAAUAAUACCCCAUCGUGUGGCCAGACCACAUUUUGCUUAUCCAUUCGUCCGCAGCUGGGCACUUGGACGGCUCCCGUGUUUUAGCUACCGCGAAUCGCGCUGCCACGAACAUAAAGCGUACAGAUACCUCUUCAAGAUCCUGCCCCGACCCUUCCGGGUAUACGCCCAGAAGCAGGACUGCCGGACAAGAGGUAGUAUGUUGUCACCUGGCGGGGAAAGCCUCUGAGGCAAGAACAGUGAUCACACGUUUGACAGGCGUCAACUGGGCAAGCUCCAGGGUCCCGGGGCCUGGUUUGGAUCCCAGCUCUGCUGAUUCCUAGUUGUGUUUUUGCACAUGAGUUGCCUGCGCUGAGCCUCAGGGUUCUCCUCUGUGAAAUGGGGCUAAGAAUAGUAUCGAUCCAUGAAGGGAGAAGGGAGAAUGAGAGCAGUGCCUGGCACAGAGCCCACGCUCAGCAGAUAAAACCCACGUGUUGUUUUAGGCAAAGUUCUUGUCUGACGAUCAUGCCUGUGACACCUCUCCCCCCUCUCCCCCGACCCCGGGGCGGGGUGGGGGGUGGGGAGGGGGAAUGUGUUGUAGCUGACCUGCCUUUAAGCUCUAUAGGAACACACCCUGAGUUUUUCUGCCCCGGGGAAGCCCGAGGGACGGGCUGGGUUGGAGUUUGGUGGCCAGCCUGGCCGGGCUGCGGGAAGGGUGAGGGCUGGUGACAGUGUGGCCGUGGGCAGGGCAGGAGGGAGGUUUCCUGCCUUCACAGAUGUUCAGCUUCCUGAUUCAGAGGCCUCCCCAGCCAGGCCUCCUCCUCCCCUGUGCAGAUUGCAAUUUCGGCCCGGCAGGAAGAGAGAAAUGAGCUUGCAUAAUAGAGGAACAUUUGGUUCUUUCGGCUGGGCCUGGAGAGGGGGAAGGUUUUUGUGCUGAGCGCGGGGGCAGACUGGAGAGGUUUCCUGCGUGCUGGGCGGCCGUGGGGGAGGCCGGGCCACCAGGAGGGAGGGCUGUGCGGAGGGCCAGAUGGACGUGGGGGGGGUGUGGGGAGGUUUCCUCGGGGAAGAGCAGACAGGGAGGGGGCCGGGGGCUCUGCGACUUUGCUGUUUUCAAGAGAUAGGAGAGAGCGCUCUGGGGAAACCACACGGGGCAGCACUGUGGCCUCGGGGACCCUCGGACAAGCACGCAGCCGUGGUAGGCUGUCCCUCUGUCCUGGGGCCCUUCGGGACACUUCCUCCUCAGCCCAGAGAGACCUGUGACUUCAGCACACAGCCGAACCUGAACUUCCUGAUCCAGGGGGAUGGGUUUGAGCCGCCACGGUGGGGCCUCCCCAGGAUCCCCAGGCCGGACGAGAAUGAGAGACACAACUGAGCACAGACUGGCCGAGGCCUGUUCCAGGUGCUGGAGCUUCCGCAGUGAGCAGAGCAGAUAAAGGGCCGUGCACCCCCGGAGGUUCCGUUCUAGGGGAAAAGGCAGGUGCGCAGCAAGGAAACACGUCGCGCCCGCGUGGAGGGCGCACGGCUGGCCUCCGCUCUUCUCCCUUCCCCACGAGAGCACGAGGACGCUGAGGCCCAGAGUGGGGAGAAGAGCCUCUCAACAUUAUAGUUCACGUGUCCAAGCCUGGACAAGAACCCGGCUGCCUUGACUCCAGCUGGCUUACUCAUUCCUUCAGCACGUUUUUAUUGAGCACCUACUAUGAGUGUAUAAUUGUUUUGGGAGCUGGAGAUACCACAGUGAAAAGGACAUCCCUUCUGCAAGCAACGUUGGUUUAGAAGAACUUCUCCUGGGGCGCCUGGGUGGCCAGUCGGGUGAGCGUCCGACUCUUGAUUUCGGCUCAGGUCAUGAUCUCACGGGUCAUGAGUUCGAGCCCCGCACUGGGCUCUGCGCUGACAGUGUGGAGCCUGCUUGGGAUUCUCUCUCUCCCUCUCGCUCUCUGCCCCUGCCCCGCUUGAGCUGUUUCUCUCUCUCUCUCUCAAAAUAGAUAAACAUUUUGAAAAAAAACGACUACUCUUGUCUUAGGGUUUCGACAGAAGUAGAGACUUGAUAAGCCCCAUCACGUGGUACGUAUACCCACCCGGAACCUCUCAUGGCCGGGCCGGGGUGCGGGGCUCCAACUGGCCAGGCCGGAUCAUGGGUUCACCCUCUGUUGCUGGGGGAAGGGAUGGCCUGACCUGAACCAUAUGGCCUGACAGCCCAGGAGGGGGUUUUUUCCCAAAGAAAAAGUGGGUGCUGUUCACCCUUAAGGAGAGGAAGGAGAUGCUGGGCAGAGAAGAAAGCAAUG